GACGAACCUUGCUAACGUUAUUCGGAAUUACUGGGCUUAAAGGGUGCGUAGGCGGUGCAGAAAGUUGGGUGUGAAAGCCCUCGGCUCAACCGAGGAAUUGCGCCCAAAACUGCUGCACUAGAGGAAGACAGAGGUACGCGGAACUUAGGGUGGAGCGGUGAAAUGCGUUGAUAUCCACAGGAACUCCGGUGGCGAAGGCGGCACGCUGGACCCCUUCUGACGCUGAGGCGCGAAAGCCAGGGGAGCGAACGGG
rnacentral:rRNA from 1 species